AAUCUUUUGCACCAGCCCAAUCAUCCCUAUAUUAAACCUGCCGGAUUCGUCCGGCUAUGGCGAUAAACGCGAUCGUAAUAAGCCGCUCGGACCCGGGGGCAGUACCCGGCGCCUCCACCAUCUCUUGCCGCGCCUUGCGGCAGGCUCCCCGAAGGGAAGUCGCAAGGCGUAGUAAAUAUGGGGGCGAACUAGGAUCGACGAAGGUGUAAAGGAUUUAGCUUUUGCUCGGCAUGAUACCACCGUCAUCGGGUCAUUCAGAAUAGUUGCCAAUGACAACUAUGCUGAGGCUGCUGUCGCUGCUUAACGCGGUGCCAAAAGCCUGAACUUGAAGUCCUUACCCUUAGCCGGGUAAGGCGCGGUACGGAGGGCACCGGGCAACAGAAGCCCUCCACU
rnacentral:tmRNA from 1 species